rnacentral:rRNA from 1 species
CCAGACUCCUACGGGAGGCAGCAGUGAGGAAUAUUGGUCAAUGGCCGAGAGGCUGAACCAGCCAAGUCGCGUGAGGGAUGACGGCCCUACGGGUUGUAAACCUCUUUUGUCGGGGAGCAAAGAGAGUCACGUGUGGCUCAUUGAGAGUACCCGAAGAAAAAGCAUCGGCUAACUCCGUGCCAGCAGCCGCGGUAAUACGGAGGAUGCGAGCGUUAUCCGGAUUUAUUGGGUUUAAAGGGUGCGUAGGCGGGCUGUUAAGUCAGCGGUCAAAUGUCGGGGCUCAACCCGGGCCUGCCGUUGAAACUGGCGGCCUCGAGUGGGCGAGAAGUAUGCGGAAUGCGUGGUGUAGCGGUGAAAUGCAUAGAUAUCACGCAGAACUCCGAUUGCGAAGGCAGCAUGCCGGCUUCCGACUGACGCUGAAGCACGAAAGCGUGGGGAUCGAACAGGAUUAGAUACCCUUGUA